rnacentral:SRP_RNA from 2 species
GACGAGCAAUUUAACAAUGGCUUGUAACCUAUGUGGGGGCUUUAAGGAGGUUGGAGGUUAGUUCAUCGUGUCUUGUCAGACGAGGACGACUUGCUUGACCAAUCCACGAAGGGAGUUGGGUUGCGAAUUCUUGACGAAAGUCCAAAGUGCAAAUCCUUUAGAUUGGAGGAAACCGCGUGAGGUUGGCCUUACAGAGCAGUGUCACCUCCUGCUCUCGUCGGUGGACGGAUAACGUGCAAGUUCUUGAACAAAGUCUGUCCCAAGCCCGUAUCCUAUUUU